UGAGCUUCCUGUCGCAUCUACCA
rnacentral:piRNA from 1 species